UGAUAAUUGGCUACUUAAGAUUCAUGCAUAUGGGCUGCGUAUCAUGCAUGUACUUAAAAUUAUGGGAUAGAGGCAGCUUGCAAGUGCAUGGAGGCCGAAGUAACUAAACAACACACCUCUCAAUCAAAAGGCAGACACUGGCUAGAGAUUAGGCAGCCUUGGGAAGAGAAGAAAAAAACACGUAAAAAGACUCAAACUUCACCAAACUGACGCUGAUCUCAUCUCACAGAGGCCAGUCCAUUCUCCUGCCCUGAAAGUGUAAUACUGUGCUUAAUGAACUUCUGUUGCUUUGCUUUGCUAUCUGUUUGUCUCGUCCAAUUCUUUAUUCGGGACACCAAGAGCCUAGAACUGCGUGGCACCCUCCGUUAACAGUGGGUGCACAGAGAAGCUCCUUCUGAGUCUUAGGUCAGAAGAUGAAGAAUGAGAAUUAGCUCUGAGCUUUGUGUGCAGGGUGUGUGGGAAGAAGGCACUUUCAGAAAGAUAGCCAAGCUUUUCAUACCAACUCAGGCUUCCUGUGGUUGAAGGGUGGAGGCAGUUUGAAAAUUACUCUUUUCACUUUACAGAUGGGAUGAUUGGAGCCCAGGAAGAAUGAGAGAUGACUCUCCCCGGGUUAGUGGGACAUCAGUGCUAUGAAGAAACAGAAGAUGGGAUCACAUAGCUGGAAGCACUUGCAGCACGUUUCCUGGCCCAUUGUUCACACUCAACACAUAAGAACUCAUUCUUAUUCCUAAAGAGCCCUGGUCUCCAUUGGCCAUGCAGUGGUCAGCCAUGUGCUCAGAAGACAGAGCUGGAAUGUAGACAGAAAAAAAUGGGCCUCGGAAGAGAUGAGUAACUCUGCUUGUUUACCACUUCAACAUGUUAGCACAACUCAAGUUACAGAGACUCGUGAGUGCUUCAGCUCUGAAUUCAGGGGAUUAAGGGAAGAAAGCUUUCGGCGCAGGAUAAUAUUCACUCGGAAAGGCUUCUGUUCCUCUGUCAGACUUUCGGGGCGCCCUCCAGUGGCUGGGAGCUGGCUGACCGAGGAGGACCUGAGGAUUUGGUGUGGGAUCUGCCAGUCAGGAAAACUCUAAUGAUCCUCUCUCUACAUAACCUGGGCCAGUUUCACUGAGGCUUUCCUCUGGCCAGCUCACUGGAUGUGCCUCGCCAGGCACCAUCCUCUCCAGCAGGCCUUCCUGCCUUCCUAAAUACCUUCUUUGAGGUUUGUGAACUGAGAUUUUUGAAGGUAGAGUUUCAUCUUCAAUUGCCUAGCAUAGGGUCCAGAAUGCAUCAGAACGUAACAGGAGCUCAAGAAA
rnacentral:lncRNA from 1 species